ACAUGCAAGUCGAGCGAGUGAAAUUAAUUGAUCCCUUCGGGGUGACGUUAAUGGAUCUAGCGGCGGACGGGUGAGUAACACGUGGGCAACCUGCCUGUAAGACUGGGAUAACUCGCGGAAACGCGAGCUAAUACCGGAUAACACUUCGAACCACAUGGUUUGAAGAUGAAAGGCGGCGCAAGCUGUCACUUACAGAUGGGCCCGCGGCGCAUUAGCUAGUUGGUGAGGUAACGGCUCACCAAGGCGACGAUGCGUAGCCGACCUGAGAGGGUGAUCGGCCACACUGGGACUGAGACACGGCCCAGACUCCUACGGGAGGCAGCAGUAGGGAAUCUUCCGCAAUGGACGAAAGUCUGACGGAGCAACGCCGCGUGAGUGAUGAGGUUUUCGGAUUGUAAAACUCUGUUGUUAGGGAAGAACAAGUACAAUAGUAACUGAUUGUACCUUGACGGUACCUAACCAGAAAGCCCCGGCUAACUACGUGCCAGCAGCCGCGGUAAUACGUAGGGGGCAAGCGUUGUCCGGAAUUAUUGGGCGUAAAGCGCGCGCAGGCGGUCCUUUAAGUCUGAUGUGAAAGCCCACGGCUUAACCGUGGAGGGUCAUUGGAAACUGGAGGACUUGAGUGCAGAAGAGGAGAGUGGAAUUCCACGUGUAGCGGUGAAAUGCGUAGAGAUGUGGAGGAACACCAGUGGCGAAGGCGACUCUCUGGUCUGUAACUGACGCUGAGGCGCGAAAGCGUGGGGAGCGAACAGGAUUAGAUACCCUGGUAGUCCACGCCGUAAACGAUGAGUGCUAGGUGUUAGGGGGUUUCCGCCCCUUAGUGCUGAAGUUAACGCAUUAAGCACUCCGCCUGGGGAGUACGGCCGCAAGGCUGAAACUCAAAAGAAUUGACGGGGGCCCGCACAAGCGGUGGAGCAUGUGGUUUAAUUCGAAGCAACGCGAAGAACCUUACCAGGUCUUGACAUCCUCUGACCACCCUAGAGAUAGGGCUUUCCCUUCGGGGACAGAGUGACAGGUGGUGCAUGGUUGUCGUCAGCUCGUGUCGUGAGAUGUUGGGUUAAGUCCCGCAACGAGCGCAACCCUUGUUCUUAGUUGCCAGCAUUUAGUUGGGCACUCUAAGGAGACUGCCGGUGACAAACCG
rnacentral:rRNA from 1 species